GGGAUCGUGGCGCAGUUGGCUAGCGCGUAGGUCUCAUAGCUAUAACAUCUGGCGAUAUAAAAGCGUCUUUGUCACAGCAUAUGACCUGAAAAAGGGCAAUCCUAAGGUCGUGAGUUCGAGCCUCACCGAUCCCA
rfam:Magnaporthe poae ATCC 64411 unplaced genomic scaffold supercont1.3, whole genome shotgun sequence.